GUGCUCGCUUCGGCAGCACAUAUACUAAAAAUUGGAAUGAUACAGAGAAGAUUAGCAUGGCCCCUGUGCAAGGAUGACACGCAAAAUCAUGAAGUGUUCCGUAUUUUU
rnacentral:snRNA from 1 species